rnacentral:rRNA from 1 species
UGGGGGAUAUUGCGCAAUGGGGGCAACCCUGACGCAGCAACGCCGCGUGAACGAUGAAGGUCUUCGGAUUGUAAAGUUCUUUUAUUAAGGACGAAGAAGUGACGGUACUUAAUGAAUAAGCUCCGGCUAACUACGUGCCAGCAGCCGCGGUAAUACGUAGGGAGCAAGCGUUGUCCGGAUUUACUGGGUGUAAAGGGUGCGUAGGCGGCAGAGCAAGUCAGAUGUGAAAUCCGUGGGCUUAACCCACGAACUGCAUUUGAAACUGUUUUGCUUGAGUGAAGUAGAGGCAGGCGGAAUUCCCUGUGUAGCGGUGAAAUGCGUAGAGAUAGGGAGGAACACCAGUGGCGAAGGCGGCCUGCUGGGCUUUAACUGACGCUGAGGCACGAAAGCGUGGGGUAGCAAACAGGAUUAGAUACCCUGGUAGU